rnacentral:rRNA from 1 species
GCCAGCAACCAUGUCACCCUACAGCUCUCAACGGCUACCCACUGAAGCUCAGCAGGGUUGAGCCUGGUCAGUACCUGAAUGGGAGACCUCCUGGGAAUAUGGGUCUUAAUGCCC